rnacentral:lncRNA from 1 species
AUAUUUUUUAUUGUUGUCAAUUGAAAUUUCUUUUAUUUUUUUCACUAUUCAAUAUUUAUAUUGACAACAGUGUAUCGAACAAAUAUAAUUCAUUGUGAUAAAUGAAGUGGAUCUAUUUAGUUUUAUUUUAUGUUUUAAAUUAAUUCGAAAAUGUGAACGUAUUUUUGUAGAUUUAUUCCUUCAAUGGUUUUUGGUUGUAUUGUCUAAUCUAU